AUUGAACGCUGGCGGCAUGCCUUACACAUGCAAGUCGAACGGCAGCACGGGAGCAAUCCUGGUGGCGAGUGGCGAACGGGUGAGUAAUAUAUCGGAACGUGCCCAGUCGUGGGGGAUAACGCAGCGAAAGCUGUGCUAAUACCGCAUACGAUCUACGGAUGAAAGCGGGGGAUCGCAAGACCUCGCGCGAUUGGAGCGGCCGAUAUCAGAUUAGCUAGUUGGUGGGGUAAAGGCCCACCAAGGCGACGAUCUGUAGCUGGUCUGAGAGGACGACCAGCCACACUGGAACUGAGACACGGUCCAGACUCCUACGGGAGGCAGCAGUGGGGAAUUUUGGACAAUGGGCGCAAGCCUGAGCCAGCAAUGCCGCGUGCAGGAUGAAGGCCUUCGGGUUGUAAACUGCUUUUGUACGGAACGAAACGGCCCUUUCUAAUACAGGGGGCUAAUGACGGUACCGUAAGAAUAAGCACCGGCUAACUACGUGCCAGCAGCCGCAGUAA
rnacentral:rRNA from 1 species